rnacentral:rRNA from 1 species
AACCCGCUCUAGCGAGUUAUCAUCGGAAUGAGUACAAUCUAAAUCCUUUAACGAGGACCUAGCGGAGGGCAAGUCUGGUGCCAGCAGCCGCGGUAAUUCCAGCUCCGCCAGUGUAUAUCUAUGCUGCUGCGGUUAAAAAGCUCGUAGUUGGAUCUUCGUGAUCGUCCAGGUCCGCCUUUGUGGCGUGAACUGAAGACCUUCACUGAAUCGCUGCUUUACCCUUGUUGCUCUUAACCGGGUGACCUGGGUGGGUAGCAUGUUUACUUUGAAAAAAUUAGAGUGCUUAAAACAAGCGAUUUGCUUGAAUAUUCGUGCAUGGAAUAAUAGAAUAGGCUUUUGGCUCUAUUUUGCUGGUUUUCGGAGCACAAGAGAAUGAUUAAGAGGGACAGACGGGGGCAUUCGUACUCCGACGUUAGAGGUGAAAUUCUUGGAUCGUCGGAUGACGCACUACUGCGAAAGCAUUUGCCAAGAAUGUUUUCAUUAAUCAAGAUCGAAAGUUAGAGGUUUGAAGGCGAUCAGAUACCGCCCUAGUUCUAACCGUAAACUAUGCCAACUAGCGAUCUGCUGGUGUUUUCUUAGACCCAGCAGGGAGCUUACCGGAAACGAAAGUCUUCAGGUUCCGGGGGAAGUAUGGUUGCAAAGCUGAAACUUAAAGGAAUUGACGGAAGGGCACCACCAGGAGUGGAGCCUGCGGCUUAACUUGACCCAACACGGGAAAACUCACCCGGCCCGGACACCGUAAGGAUUGACAGAUUGAGAGCUCUUUCUUGAUUCGGUGGGUGGUGGUGCAUGGCCGUUCUUAGUUGGUGGAUUGAUAUGUCUGGUUUAUUCCGAUAACGAACGAGACUCCAACCUACUAACUAGUGGGCGAAUCUUCACGUUCGCAACACUUCUUAGAGGGACAAGCAGUGUUUAGCUGCAUGAGAAGGAGCAAUAACGGGUCUGUGAUGCCCUUAGAUGUCCGGGGCUGCACACGCGCUACACUGAAGGAAUCAACGUGCUAGAAAACCUUGUUUGAAAAGAUUGGGAAACCCCUUGAAAAUCCUUCGUGAUUGGGAUCGGGACUUGCAAAUGUGUCCCUUGAACGAGGAAUUCCCAGUAGACGCGAGUCAUCAGCUCGUAUCGAUUACGUCCCUGCCCUUUGUACACACCGCCCGUCGCUGCCCGGAACUGAGCCGUUUCGAGAAGACUGGGGAUUGACGCUUUACGGGCUUCACGGCUCGUUUUGCAUUGAAAACCAAUU